AAGUCGUAACAAGGUCUCCGUUGGUGAACCAGCGGAGGGAUCAUUAACACGUAUCCACGUAUCCACCCCUGUGCACUGUCAUUUCCGCCCUGCGCGUUACACGAAUGAGGAACGACUCGAGUAGCUUGAAUGGGAUCCGUCAAACGAUCGCUCUCGACUCAGCAUAUUUGAAGUGUCUUGUUUCGGCAAGCGCUUCGACCAUUGAAGUAACGUUUCCAGGCAAACCGCUGUUACCGAACUCUCCUUCAAGAGGGAAGUAAUGGCACUUAACAAAACAAUUUUCACCCUUUUUUGCUAGUUGAUUUAUCUUGUUGUUUCUCUCUUUGAUUAACUUUCAUCGAAGAUUCAACACGUUUAAUUUAUUUGAACGUUAAAUAUACAACUCUUAGCAAUGGAUAUCUAGGUUCUC
rnacentral:misc_RNA from 1 species